rnacentral:rRNA from 1 species
UACGUAGGGUGCGAGCGUUGUCCGGAAUUAUUGGGCGUAAAGAGCUCGUAGGCGGUUUGUCACGUCUGCUGUGAAAUCCCGAGGCUCAACCUCGGGCCUGCAGUGGGUACGGGCAGACUGGAGUGCGGUAGGGGAGAUUGGAAUUCCUGGUGUAGCGGUGGAAUGCGCAGAUAUCAGGAGGAACACCGAUGGCGAAGGCAGAUCUCUGGGCCGUAACUGACGCUGAGGGGCGAAAGCGUGGGGAGCGAACAGG